rnacentral:rRNA from 1 species
ACGCUCGACACCUACGGGAGCAGCAGUGGGGAAUAUUGCACAAUGGGGGAAACCCUGAUGCAGCGACGCCGCGUGAGCGAAGAAGUAUUUCGGUAUGUAAAGCUCUAUCAGCAGGGAAGAAGAAAGACGGUACCUGACUAAGAAGCCCCGGCUAACUACGUGCCAGCAGCCGACGGUAAUCUGAGGCGGGCGUGGACGAAGGC